rnacentral:rRNA from 1 species
ACUCCUGCGGGAGGCAGCAGUGGGGAAUAUUGCACAAUGGGCGCAAGCCUGAUGCAGCGACGCCGCGUGGGGGAUGAAGGCCUUCGGGUUGUAAACUCCUUUCGCUAGGGACGAAGCUUUUUUGUGACGGUACCUAGAUAAGAAGCACCGGCUAACUACGUGCCAGCAGCCGCGGUAAUACGUAGGGUGCGAGCGUUGUCCGGAAUUACUGGGCGUAAAGGGCUCGUAGGUGGUUUGUCGCGUCGUCUGUGAAAUUCUGGGGCUUAACUCCGGGCGUGCAGGCGAUACGGGCAUAACUUGAGUGCUGUAGGGGUAACUGGAAUUCCUGGUGUAGCGGUGAAAUGCGCAGAUAUCAGGAGGAACACCGAUGGCGAAGGCAGGUUACUGGGCAGUUACUGACGCUGAGGAGCGAAAGCAUGGGUAGCGAACAGGAUUAGAUACCCUUGUAGUCCCAUGA